GUAUCUGCAAGGACGCCCAGGGUCUCUCCUUGAACCUUCAGUUUCCCCAGGUUUCCCGCGGCGGCGCAUGCAGCUGCACGGAAGCCACGGGCAGCAGGCCGGCCUGGCCCGAGAAAGCGCUCCUGCAGGGGAUUGCUCGCGCAGCACCAUUCCUUGAGAGCUUGCGCGGUCGCCCGCCCUCAGCCCCGAGCCUUCCUCGCGGCUCCGAGGCAUCCAGGAAGCGGGCCGCUUGGGCUGUGGACAUACGUGCCCUGACCGUGCUGGGCCUCAGAGCUGGCAGCCCUCCCCACACGGGCCCCAACCCUCCAGCACGACCACCAGGGAGGGCCCAGAUGGUCCGGCCGUCCCUCCAUGCGCUCUCCCGCAGGGCAGCCUCACUGCAUGCACCGCGGCUUCUCCCCAAAGCCGCCUGAGCGAGCCCGCGCUCACUCGGCCCCGGAUAGAAGGCUGCGUGCAAAGCGGGCACGCACUCGGGGAAAAGCGAGGGCCACGCGUCUCGGGAACGUCCAAAAUCCGGUUACCAGGCAGCUGCCGGGGCGCCGGGGCGGGUGCGGGUGCGGGUGCGGGUGCGGGUGCGGGCGCGCUCCCCACCAGGAUGACCCAGGGCCCCGCGGGCGCUCCUCGCCCCAGACAACCUGGGCAAGGCCCGGCCUGGGGCCAGGGAGCGGCGGCAGGAGUCCGGCGGGCGGGGAAGGGGGGCCCCAGAGACGUGCAGUGUUCCGUGCAGGGCCUCCCAGGAAAUUCUCCCUGCACUGAGACGUUUGAGAAUCAGCGACCUGGGCGGAAGAGCCCGAGGGGGUCCCCACCGCUCCGGUUCCUCUCGACUGGACGGCAGAGAAGCCCUCGCUAGGAUCAAAAACGGGGGAUGUGCCACCCAGGCAGCCCCUGGGCUCUGGAAGCGCUUCAGACCGGAAACGGGGACGCUUCCGAAGCGGCAGGAGGCCCGACCCACGUCAGCGUCGUCUGGGGCCCAGCCUCGUCUGGGGCCCUGGCGGCGGGGCGGGAGGCUCAGGGCCUGCCCAGGAGCUGGAGUCCGCAGGGCGGGCACUGCCGGCCUGGGAAAGUGGUGCGCCCCGACGCAGUACCUGUCUGAGCCACCGGAGGGCGCGUGGGUCUCUGGGACGCGGGAGGCGCGGCUCCCCGCGCGCGUGCCUGGACCAAGGACCCGGGGCGCGCG
rnacentral:lncRNA from 1 species